CACAGGGGGAGCAAGCGUUGUUCGGAAUCACUGGGCGUAAAGGGCGUGUAGGCGGUCAGGUAAGUGGGAUGUGAAAUGCCCCGGCUCACCCGGGGACCGGCAUCCCAUACUGCUUGGCUUGAGUACGGGAGAGGAUGUGGGAAUUCCUGGUGUAGCGGUGAAAUGCGUAGAUAUCAGGAGGAACACCGGUGGCGAAGGCGCACAUCUGGCCCGAUACUGACGCUGAGGCGCGAAAGCUAGGGGAGCAAACGGG
rnacentral:rRNA from 1 species